rnacentral:rRNA from 1 species
AAAAAAGGUAAGCUACUAAGAGCGAAUGGUGGAUGCCUUGACUGGUAAAGGCGAUGAAGGACGUACUAGACUGCGAUAAGCUACGGGGAGCUGUCAAGAAGCUUUGAUCCGUAGAUUUCCGAAUGGGGCAACCCAAUGUAUAGAGAUAUACAUUACCUAUAUAGGAGCGAACGAGGGGAAUUGAAACAUCUUAGUACCCUCAGGAAAAGAAAUCAAUAGAGAUUGCGUCAGUAGCGGCGAGCGAAAGCGCAAGAGGGCAAACCCAGUGCUUGCACUGGGGGUUGUAGGACUGCAAUGUGCAAGAGGUGAGUUUAGCAGAACAUUCUGGAAAGUAUAGCCAUAGAGGGUGAUAGUCCCGUAUGCGAAAAACAAACCUUAGCUAGCAGUAUCCUGAGUAGGGCGGGACACGAGAAAUCCUGUCUGAAGCUGGGUCGACCACGAUCCAACCCUAAAUACUAAUACCAGAUCGAUAGUGCACAAGUACCGUGAGGGAAAGGUGAAAAGAACUGAGGUGAUCAGAGUGAAAUAGAACCUGAAACCAUUUGCUUACAAUCAUUCAGAGCCCUAUGUAGCAAUACAGGGUGAUGGACUGCCUUUUGCAUAAUGAGCCUGCGAGUUGUGGUGUCUGGCAAGGUUAAGCAAACGCGAAGCCGUAGCGAAAGCGAGUCUGAAUAGGGCGCUUAGUCAGAUGCUGCAGACCCGAAACGAAGUGAUCUAUCCAUGAGCAAGUUGAAGCUAGUGUAAGAACUAGUGGAGGACUGAACCCAUAGGCGUUGAAAAGCCCCGGGAUGACUUGUGGAUAGGGGUGAAAGGCCAAUCAAACUUCGUGAUAGCUGGUUCUCUCCGAAAUAUAUUUAGGUAUAGCGUUGUGUCGUAAUAUAAGGGGGUAGAGCACUGAAUGGGCUAGGGCAUACACCAAUGUACCAAACCCUAUCAAACUCCGAAUACCUUAUAUGUAAUCACAGCAGUCAGGCGGCGAGUGAUAAAAUCCGUCGUCAAGAGGGAAACAACCCAGACUACCAGCUAAGGUCCCUAAAUCUUACUUAAGUGGAAAACGAUGUGAAGUUACUUAAACAACCAGGAGGUUGGCUUAGAAGCAGCCAUCCUUUAAAGAAAGCGUAAUAGCUCACUGGUCUAGUGAUUUUGCGCGGAAAAUAUAACGGGGCUAAAGUAAGUACCGAAGCUGUAGACUUGCGCACAACUUAGAUUAUUUAAGUUUAGAAUAUGAGAAACUAAGUUAUAUGUUUAGUUAUAUUUUUACUGAUUUUUAUAGAGUAAAGAUAGAAAUAAAACUUAGUAAAAUCAGUAAAAAUAUUCUUAGACUAAAGUUAAGUAGUUUAAGUUGUGUGCAAGUGGUAGGAGAGCGUUCUAUUUGCGUCGAAGGUAUACCGGUAAGGAGUGCUGGAGCGAAUAGAAGUGAGCAUGCAGGCAUGAGUAGCGAUAAUUAAUGUGAGAAUCAUUAACGCCGUAAACCCAAGGUUUCCUACGCGAUGCUCGUCAUCGUAGGGUUAGUCGGGUCCUAAGUCGAGUCCGAAAGGGGUAGACGAUGGCAAAUUGGUUAAUAUUCCAAUACCAACAUUAGUGUGCGAUGGAAGGACGCUUAGGGCUAAGGGGGCUAGCGGAUGGAAGUGCUAGUCUAAGGUCGUAGGAGGUUAUACAGGCAAAUCCGUAUAACAAUACUCCGAGAACUGAAAGGCUUUUUGAAGUCUUCGGAUGGAUAGAAGAACCCCUGAUGCCGUCGAGCCAAGAAAAGUUUCUAAGUUUAGCUAAUGUUGCCCGUACCGUAAACCGACACAGGUGGGUGGGAUGAGUAUUCUAAGGCGCGUGGAAGAACUCUCUUUAAGGAACUCUGCAAAAUAGCACCGUAUCUUCGGUAUAAGGUGUGGUUAGCUUUGUAUUAGGAUUUACUCCGAAAGCAA